GAGGUGGGGGAGGGGCGUCUUCUCUUCCCGCGUCCGGAACCCCGCGUCCCGAGUUCCCCGUGGUUCUCUCGCACCCAUCGCUCGGCGGCUUUACGCCACAGGGUGAAUUGCGACCUCACCCUGCUCCCCCUGGCUGGACUCUAGCUUCGCCCAGGCCCCCUCCAGUAUGAGCAUUGAUGCUUCCGUAGCCAGUGUUUUUAGUUGUUUUGUCUUGUGGCUUAGCCGCCCACGGGCCCAGAUGUGGGUGGGAGUGGGGUGGCUGCCGGGCUGGAAGCUGAGGAUUUAGCCAGAGACCCAGCCCAGAGCCCGGCCGGACUUACAGAUUCUCUCCCUCCCCAGCAAUCUACAAACAAAGGAAGGAAAGAGGAGAAAUGCCUAUUAGACUCAGUACCCGGGGUUCACCCACCUCUCCCAUUGGGAUGUCUAUUGUGCAAAGGAAGGGAAGGGGCCCGUUAAUCCUAGAACCUCAACCUCAGGACUAGGUUCUGAGGUUUUGGGUGUGGUUGCUUUUCCCUCAUCGAGAUCAACAAGGAAGGAGCAGAACUGCUCGGAUUGCUUUGUCAUGCGGAGUCACGAGGAUGGCCAUGUAAACAGUUUUGUUUGCAUAGGCUACCGGCUUCCGUACAGUAAGAAGUCUAGCUACGCUAACAGAUUAAACUUCACUCUGUAAAGGUUUACGAGUUAUUACCAUAUUACUGAAGGAAACGUUAGGAACAUAGCUGGUUUGCCUAGCAUGAACCAAAAGCUCCAGUUUGAUUCCCCAGCCCAAAGUCUGCUUUCUAGAAUAAAGAGCAGGUAGAAUUUUAUUUGAAGUGAAUUGAAAUUCAGAAAAUGUCUCCUUUGCAUAGUAUUUUAUUUUUAUUAGGAAGCAUGAGUCGGACCUUGUUUCAACAAGCAGAGUAUGUCUGAGUCAGACAUUUUGAGGCACAGACUCAGCCAGAGUGCUGAUCUUAUGAUUGAUGCGAUGACUUCAUUGGGCAAACUGGACUGCUGAUAUAUUCUUGAAGUGUUUUCAAGUGGAUCGAGCUGCCGCUGCUAACCUGUGAACUGAACUGCCAAUUUCCAGACAACACAAACAGGAGUUGCUCCAAAGAACCUUUCUAAACAGGUCCACUUCCCCCCUAAAUAUCACUUUCUAUUUCCUGUUUUUAAAGUACACUUUUUGUUUGCUUGCUUGUUUGUUUUGUAUUUUGAGACAAGGUUUCUCUGUGUACCCCUGAAUGUCCUGGAACUCUGUCGACUAAGGCUGGCUGUGAACUCAGAUCUGCCUGCUUCUGUCUCCAAAAUUCUGGGAUUAAAGAAGUAUGGCAGGAUGC
rnacentral:lncRNA from 1 species